GGUCAAGCUACUAAGGGUGAACGGUGGAUGCCUUGGCGCAGAGAGGCGAUGAAGGACGUGGCAAGCUGCGAUAAGCUUCGGGGAGCCGCAAACAGGCUUUGAUCCGGAGAUUUCCGAAUGGGGAAACCCGGCUGGGGUCAUGCCCAGUCAUCCCGGGGUGAACACAUAGCUCCGUGGAAGCGAACGAGGGGAAGUGAACCAUCUCAGUACCCUCAGGAAGAGAAAACAACUGUGAUUCCGUCAGUAGCGGCGAGCGAACGCGGAAGAGCCCAAACCGGUGGGGUGUCAAGCCCGCAAGCGUUGCUUCAUCGGUGUCGUGGGACAUUGCUUGGCCCGGUUGCGGAUGGGCCGGAGAGUUACAAAGCACCAGCCUAGCGGAAGACCUCUGGAAGGGGUCGCCAGAGAGGGUGACAGCCCCGUAUGCAAAAGGUUCGGUGUCUCUCUUGCAGUGCUCCCAAGUACCACGGGACACGAGAAACCCCGUGGGAAUUCGGGUGGACCAUCACCCAAGGCUAAAUACUACUCUGCGACCGAUAGUGAACCAGUACCGUGAGGGAAAGGUGAAAAGUACCCCUGUUAGGGGAGUGAAAUAGAACCUGAACCCGUUUACCUACAAGCAGUGGGAGCGCUAUGGCCCUCGGGCAAUGCGUGACCGCGUGCCUUUUGCAUAAUGAGGCGGCUAGUUACUGUCACUGGCAAGGUGAAGCGACGUGCAUAACCGAAGCGAAAGCGAGUCUGAAUAGGGCGUACAGUCAGUGGUAGUAGACGCGAAGCGAGGUGAUCUACCCAUGGCCAGGGUGAAGCUGCGGUAACACGCAGUGGAGGCCCGAACCAGUGUCGGUUGAAAACGGCUUGGAUGAGCUGUGGGUAGGGGUGAAAGGCCAAUCAAACCUCGUAAUAGCUCGUUCUCCUCGAAAUAGCUUUAGGGCUAGCCUCGCGGAUUGCAUCACGGAGGUAGAGCACUGGAUGGACUAGGGGGCCUUCACAGCCUACCGACUCCAACCAAACUCCGAAUGCCGUAGAUGUGUACCGCGGGAGUCAGACUGCGGGGGAUAAGCUCCGUAGUCGAGAGGGAAACAACCCAGACCGCCAGCUAAGGUCCCGAAAUGUCAACUAAGUGGGAAACGAAGUGGAGAUGCUCAGACAGCCAGGAGGUUGGCUUAGAAGCAGCCAUCCUUUAAAGAAAGCGUAAUAGCUCACUGGUCAAGUGAAUCUGCGCGGAAAAUUCAACGGGGCUAAGUUGACUACCGAAGCUGCGGACUCUCGCAACCCUCCGGGGGAGCGGGAUUGGUAGAGGAGCAUUCUGUGCGUGCUGAAGCCGGACCGUAAGGACUGGUGGAAUGCACGGAAGAGACCCUGCCGCCACAAGUAGCGAUAAAGCAGGUGAGAACCCUGCUCGCCGAAAGUCUAAGGUUUCCUGGGCAAGGUCAAUCCGCUCAGGGUUAGUCGGCUCCUAAGGCGAGGCCGAAAGGCGUAGUCGAUGGGAAACAGGUUAAUAGUCCUGUACCACCUUGUUCUCGUUCGUACGACGGGGUGACGCAGAAGGAUAGCUCUACCUACGAUUGGAAGUGUAGGGGCAAGCGUGUAGGAGGGGGUGGUAGGAAAAUCCGCCGUCCCAUUCAAACUCCGAGGCGUGAUGCAGUGCUCGUCAGAGCGGAAGUGAGUGAUUCCAUGCUGCCUAGAAAAACCUCUAAGGAGAGUUCAGGGUGACCGUACCGCAAACGGACACACGUAGGCUGGGAGAGUAUCCCAAGGCGCUUGAGUGAUCUCUUGUGAAGGAACUCGGCAAAUUAACACCGUAACUUCGGGAGAAGGUGUGCCACUGAGGGUGUAGGAGUUCGCCUCCGAAGCUCUCGGUGGUCGCAGUGACUAGGCCCAGGCGACUGUUUACUAAAAACACAGGACUCUGCAAAGUCGAAUACGACGUAUAGGGUCUGACGCCUGCCCGGUGC
rnacentral:rRNA from 1 species